rnacentral:misc_RNA from 1 species
GAUGAAGAACGCAGCGAAAUGCGAUAAGUAAUGUGAAUUGCAGAAUUCAGUGAAUCUUCGAAUCUUUGAACGCACAUUGCGCCCCUUGGUAUUCCGAGGGGCAUGCCUGUUCGAGCGUCAUUAUAACCCCUCAAGCUCAGCUUGGUGUUGGGGCCUGCUGCACUGGCAGCCCUUAAAAUCAGUGGCGGCGCCAUCUGGCUCUAAGCGUAGUAAUUCUUCUCGCUAUGGAGUCCUGGUGGAUGCUUGCCAUCAACCCCCAAUUUUUCUAUGGUUGACCUCGGAUCAGGUAGGGAUACCCGCUGAACUUAAGCAUAUCAAUAAGCGGAGGA